CUGCUCUUUGCAAGGUGAGGCUUAAAUCAAGAUCCUCAACCUUGGCGCUAUUGAGAUGCUAGUCUUUUUGCGGAAGGCUACCCUGCACAUCGUAAGAUGAAACAGUACACAAUUGCCUCAGAGAAGCACCAUGUGUUUCCAAAGUGUGAAUCUGAAAACCAUCCAUCUGGGCAUGUUGGCAUCUUCCUGAGUUGUAUGUGAUUGAAAGAAAUGUAUUCAACAUUUUGCAACUCUUUGGCUGCAUGAGAAAGAGAAUAAGGUGUCUCCUGCUAUGGAAAUUUUCUCUUUUAAUGGAAAUUAUUUUGCUAUCAAAACUCUAGAAUUGAAUUGAAGCACUACUCUUCAGACCAGAAAAAUGUUGCAGAAUAUGCAUUUCAGCACUUUUUGGAGGGCCGUAAGUCUGUACGCUGUUGGUAGGAAGAAACUCUCUUCUCUCCAGCAGAAAUGAGAAAAAAGGGGAAUUGUUACAAAAUUAACAUGGGACCAGCUUAAGAGAUGUACUGAGAGGAAAAGAGAGAUUAGAAUAUCAGCCAGGAGGCAAUAAUAUAGAAAAAGUAAAGUUUUCAUAUCUUGACAAAAGAAAAUGUUUACUUUGUCAAAAAGUUUUUUACAUUGUAUAUUAUGAAUAAAUUUGAAAUUCAAAUUAUUGUCCAACCAUGAUGAAUAUAUUUGCUACUCUGACCAGUUUUUAGAAUGCUGUGAUGAGAGUUGUGUGAUCUCCAAGUUUGUAUAAUAAAGAGAAAACCCUGAAAAUCUUUCACUUUGUCAUGCCUGCGCUGAGGGCAGAUGACUCACUGUAUGAAUUCAAGUUAAAUCACUUAACCUUUUUCUCUUAUUCAACCCAUCUGGGAAGCUGAAUACAAGCACUUCACCAUGAAACAGAUGGCGAGUGAGUCUAAGCUACAUUUUCCCAGAUUAAAAAAAGAAGAAAAAUGUGUUAUAAGGACUAAACGAACCAAAUGUGGAAAAAAAUCCAAGGAUUACAUGGAAGAGAGCUAUAAGCUGGAUCAGACCUUUUCACCUGUAAAAAAACAGUAUAAUGCUCACAAAAUAAGUCCUAGGAGAUGAUUUGGGUACAAAAUCAGUAAAAUCUUUUCAUAAGCAUCAUAUGUGUAAUGGGGUCAUUAAUGAUGGUAUUUAUAGUAAGUAAAAUGCUAUUUGUUUGCUUGUUCAUUUACCUGUAUGUCUCAGAAACAAAUUCUAUAACUUUAGGAUACUUUUAGGUUAUCCAUUUGAUAACUGUAAAGAUAAAUGCUAAGAAAAACAUCUUGAGAAAAUUUAUGAGACCCACCUAGAUUGUAGCUCCAAUGAAAUUUAACAUGUUUGAAAAUAAAAACUUUCCAAUAAG